rnacentral:rRNA from 1 species
CAGUAGCCACGGGAAUACGAAGGGGGCUAGCGUUGCUCGGAAUGACUGGGCGUAAAGGGCGCGUAGGCGGAUCACGCAGUCAGAUGUGAAAUUCCUGGGCUUAACCUGGGGGCUGCAUUUGAGACGCGUGGUCUAGAGUGUGAAAGAGGGUCGUGGAAUUCCCAGUGUAGAGGUGAAAUUCGUAGAUAUUGGGAAGAACACCGGUGGCGAAGGCGGCGACCUGGUUCAUGACUGACGCUGAGGCGCGAAAGCGUGGGGAGCAAACAGGAUUAGAUACCCCAGUAGUCCCUGUCUCUUAUAA